CCGAGACCGGGGCGGCCGGGGGGUGUCGCGGGCCGCUCGGGCCACGCCGGGUCCCGGCGCUGCGAGGCGGACGGCGCGCCGCGCCCUGGCACCUCGCCCCCAGCGCCCCCAGCCUCAGUCCCCGCCUCCGAUAAUGCAUGCGGAAUCUUAGUUCCCCUGUCAGGGGUCGAACCCCUGCCCCCUGCAGUGGAAGCGCAGACAUUGCCGAGCCUCCAGGGAUGAGCAGGCAGACAGUGCAUGGAACCGUCUCCGGCCGAGGGACCAGCCUGAGGGAAGGCACAGAGAUGAGCAAGAGGGAGCCUGAGUGAGGGGCCAGAGGCCGAGGCUCCACUCCAGUGCUGGGCGAGUGGCUUCCUUUCAGAAGCUUCAGGGUUUUCAUCUGUAAAAUGAGGAGAAGCCUCUGGGCAGAUCUGGGAUGAUGAUUUGUCUGCGCUCUGCACUUGUCAAGUCCAGAGUGGUGCCCGGGCCACGACCGCACGGCCAGGGCGACUGUGGGCUGCCCAGGGGUGACCACUGCGAAGCCUCCUUUGGCAAGUGGAGGUGGUGAUGGUGACGAUGGUGACGACAGCGGAGGUGAUGGUGGUGUUUGAGAUUAAAAACAAGGGAAA